rnacentral:rRNA from 1 species
UGGGGGAUAUUGCACAAUGGGGGAAACCCUGAUGCAGCAACGCCGCGUGAGGGAUGAAGGUUUUAGGAUUGUAAACCUCUGUCCUUAGUGAAGAAUAAAAUGACGGUAACUAAGGAGGAAGCUCCGGCUAACUACGUGCCAGCAGCCGCGGUAAUACGUAGGGAGCAAGCGUUGUCCGGAAUUAUUGGGUGUAAAGGGUGCGUAGGCGGCUAUGUAAGUCAGACGUGUAAUUCAGGAGCUUAACUUUUGAACUGCGUUUGAAACUGUGUAGCUUGAGUGGAGUAGAGGCAGAUGGAAUUUCCA